CMRGCGAGUCGCAUGCUCCGGCCGCCAUGGCGGCCGCGGGAAUUCGAUUAGAGUUUGAUCCUGGCUCAGAGCGAACGCUGGCGGCAGGCUUAACACAUGCAAGUCGAGCGGGCGUAGCAAUACGUCAGCGGCAGACGGGUGAGUAACGCGUGGGAACGUACCUUUUGGUUCGGAACAACACAGGGAAACUUGUGCUAAUACCGGAUAAGCCCUUACGGGGAAAGAUUUAUCGCCGAAAGAUCGGCCCGCGUCUGAUUAGCUAGUUGGUGAGGUAAUGGCUCACCAAGGCGACGAUCAGUAGCUGGUCUGAGAGGAUGAUCAGCCACAUUGGGACUGAGACACGGCCCAAACUCCUACGGGAGGCAGCAGUGGGGAAUAUUGGACAAUGGGCGCAAGCCUGAUCCAGCCAUGCCGCGUGAGUGAUGAAGGCCCUAGGGUUGUAAAGCUCUUUUGUGCGGGAAGAUAAUGACGGUACCGCAAGAAUAAGCCCCGGCUAACUUCGUGCCAGCAGCCGCGGUAAUACGAAGGGGGCUAGCGUUGCUCGGAAUCACUGGGCGUAAAGGGUGCGUAGGCGGGUCUUUAAGUCAGGGGUGAAAUCCUGGAGCUCAACUCCAGAACUGCCUUUGAUACUGAGGAUCUUGAGUUCGGGAGAGGUGAGUGGAACUGCGAGUGUAGAGGUGAAAUUCGUAGAUAUUCGCAAGAACACCAGUGGCGAAGGCGGCUCACUGGCCCGAUACUGACGCUGAGGCACGAAAGCGUGGGGAGCAAACARGAUUAKAUACCCUGGUAGUCCACGCCGUAAACGAUGAAUGCCAGCCGUUAGUGGGUUUACUCACUAGUGGCGCAGCUAACGCUUUAAGCAUUCCGCCUGGGGAGUASGGUCGCAAGAUUAAAACCCAAAGGAAUUGACGGGGCCCGCACAAGCGGUAGAGCAUGUGGUUUAAUUCKACGCAACGCGCARAACUUACYAGCCUUGWMWCYWGUCGCGGAUUCWRARMGAGUCUYAUUCGYUGACGAGAMAGWGCUGCUGGUGUCUCWCUCKGUCUGAGWKUWGGUUAGUCCGCACACGCACCCCKUCUAGUKCUACAUUAGUURWGCUCUAAGGACUGCGURUAGCSSAGAGGGGAKAGUCRUCUCUGCUMGGCUGUMACGKCUCAUGCGUGCAUGGGCUAGAACGUSAAUCAACGGUCAUUCUAAUGGCUGCAUCAGUCUGCAUAG
rnacentral:rRNA from 1 species